AGCGUUAGAUUGGGGGCAUUUCAAAAGAAAAAUGGAGCUUGACACAUGACCAAGGUGGUCGUAGGUAUGGCUAUAUGACAACCAAUUUGUCAGAGACAAUUAAUAAGAUCUUCAAAGGUGCACAAAAUAUGCCCGUGAUUGCUUUGGUUAAGGUCACACACGAUAUAUUGGUUCAGUAUUUUGUGCGAAGAGGUUUGCAAGCCUAAGCAGAAUACAUGCCAGUUAACACUACUGUAAGAGGUUGCUAGAUGCCCUUGAAAAAAAUCGCAUUGAAGCUUAUGCUUAUCACGUUAAAAUAGAAGGACAAAAUUUGAUGUUGAAGAGCCAUUCAAUCAUACCACUCGACAGGGAAGAAAAACAUGGUUUGUUAUAUUGAACGAACAUUAUUGUGAGUAUGGAGCUUUUCAAGCCUACAAAUAUCAUUACUCCCACCUCAUCGCAGUGUGAGCCCAUCUCCACAUCAAUCCAUACCAUUAAGUAGAUAAAGUAUACAAAGUCUAAAACAUCAUUCAAGUCUGGGCAACUGGAAUCCCCUUGGCUGCAAGGAAACCAUCCUUGAAAGGAGUGAACCUAUUAUUGUUCUGGAUGAAUCCAAAAUAUGUGAAAAAGGUCAACCAAAGUCUACACACAUAAGUAAUGAAAUGGAUUAAUAUUGGACAAAAUCUCAACGUACACAAACAUGUAACCAAUGCAGACAUCAAGGCCAAAACAAGACUAAUUGUCCACAUAAUUGACAUCAAUUUUUCCAUUAUAAUUUUAAUGCAUUUU
rnacentral:lncRNA from 1 species